AGGCGAGCAGGCAUGCUUAGCGGCCAUUUCAAAGCUUGCCUGGAUCCAGGAUUCUUCUCCUGUGAGCAGCCCCACGCACACCGGCAUCCCUGCUUUGCGUUGCCCUGUGGGAAUUGGAGUUCAGCCCACGAAAAGAACGCUGACACUGUUUCCCGCUUGGCUGUGAGUGAUAAAGCCCGUUGCCUCUGACCCAGGAAUGUCAUGCCUUCUGCCAGCACCCACGAAACGGCGGCAGGCCAGUUAGCUUACGAGUAGGGCAAAAGCCCAGAUUCUUUUUAGAUCUCGACAGGUGUGCGCCCAGUGUGUGUUUGCUACGUAGAACCACGCACUCUCUCCCGAUGGGCACCGAGCCCUUCAGCUCCCCCGCUGAUGUCAGCAGACGUCGGUGGGUCAUUGCUGUCCCGGCUGGAAGAUGAAUCAGCGCGGAAAUCCUCAGCCAGAGAAGCCAAAGAAGCUCCGUAUCUAUGUCCCUCCCCUCUCCCUCCACUCCGGAUUUCCCAGCUGGACUCUCAGGGCUCGAAGCAAAGACCCCCGCGUGGCACGUCUGACGCUUCCUGGGAUAAAUAAAUGGUGGGCGUAGCGUUG